AUGGAUUUCUCUGGUGGCAACGUGGUCCAAGUAAUCACCGGAAGUGGUCCGGAAAAUUGGUCUGUCAACGACAACGCCAUGUGGGCUACAGAGGACGAUUACCGAGCUUGGAGCAACAACAAUGGCGACGACACGCCGUCUAACUCGAAUUAUGACCAGAGACAAUCUCAAUCUCGCUCUGGAAGCGAACCCCCGAACAAAAAAUCCAAGAAUUCCCAGGAUGUCACCUCGUCCAACCGAUCCAAAGCCAUAGGAAAAAUGUUUUUCAAGACCAAACUCUGUUGCAAGUUCCGUGCAGGCACUUGCCCCUACGUUACUAACUGUAAUUUCGCUCACAGCAUCGAGGAGCUUCGUCGGCCGCCUCCCAAUUGGCAGGAGAUUGUGGCGCAGCACGAGGAGGAGAAGGGGGUGUCGUCGGAGCCGAGGGAGGAGUAUCAGAUACCCUCAUUGGGCUCAGCCAAUUUUGUUGGGGACUCGCAGAGGUCGUAUAAGGGCCGGCAUUGCAAGAAGUUUUAUACUGAGGAGGGUUGUCCUUAUGGAGAUAAUUGCACAUUCCUUCAUGAUGAGCAAUCCAAGAACCGGGAAAGUGUGGCGAUAAGCUUGGGACCGGGCGGGUAUGGUGGUGCAGCAGCUAGUCCUGUGAGUGGACCCAAUGCCAAGCCCUCGAAUUGGAAAACUAGGAUUUGCAAUAAGUGGGAGUUGACAGGGUAUUGCCCCUUUGGAAGCAAAUGCCAUUUUGCUCAUGGUGCUGCAGGUAACCAAUGGUUUGCUUUUUUUUAUUUUUUUAUUUAUCCUUCCCAUUCAUCUUGUUAAGAUUUAAGGAAAGUAUUGGAUUUUGAGUUUGUGUAUAUUUGUUAUGUUUUAAAUCAUAACACUUGUGCUGCUAUUGAGUGGUGUAGAAACUAGAAAGAGAGUUGGUAGAAAUGGUUUAAUUGUAAGUGGUUCGUCUUCUAGUGUAAUUGAACAUAGCCCUGUGAUUGCAUUGCCAGUUUUACACUCAAUUCAUAUGUUAGUAACUUUCCAUUUUUGCUUCAACUUUCCAUCCAAGGAUAGAGACUUUGCUUUAAUCAUUUGAAUACCUGGACGUUUUAGUUCCCAAACAAUAAUCAUUGUAUUAACUUUCUUUUUUACUAGAAAAUUCUUCAAGUGUAGGACAAUUCUACGUAAAUUCUUUAAUACUGUAAACUGGAGCAUUGUUCCUUCUAAUUUUUGUACAUGUUUAAGCACAAAUGUUUCAACUUCUUUUGAUAUGCACUGAGUUCUUGUGUAUACCUGUUAAUUACUUUAAUUUAAGGGAUUUUUUGUUAUUUCCUUUAACUAUUUUUAGGAAGGGUUUGAAAGCUAGGCAGGUCCAAGCAACCUAAACCGUAGCUCACCUAGCUUAACCACCAAAUAUAAGGCAUUAGGGGACUCUGAGAUAGUUGUCCUCAAUAAAAGAUGCAAUAUGACAUGACCCUUGGAGUGUACAUACACACCUCUAAAAGGAUCUUUUUCCAGAUCUGUAUGCUUGUUCUCUGUCCAAAUAAGCUUGGAUAUCUGACCUGGUUGUUUCUGCAUCAGAAGGGGGAGAGAGGAGUUGGAAUUUACAAUUCCGGCGAGCUUUUCAUGAUUGGGAGUUGGAGGGUAUUUGUUCUUUUUUUGAGCUACUUUAUUCCUACAUGCCGAGAGGUGAGGGUGAUGAUAAGCUAUCUUGGAAGUUGACUUGGACUAGUGUGUUUGAUGUGCGCUCCUAUUACAUUUGGUUGUCUGGUACACUUAUUGAUGCUUUUCCUUUGGAAGAGCAUUUGGUGUGUAGAGGUGCCUAAAGGGGUGUCUUUCUUUUUAUGGACAGCAGCUAGGGAUGAGAUAUUUACCAUUGAUAAUCUUGUUAAGAGAGGUCCCUGGUUAUUUGGUGUUUCCUGUGUUGGUAUGAUGGGGUAUCUGUGGACCAAGUUUUACUUCACUGUAAAUCUGUUCAUGCUUUAUGGAGUGAAGUUUUUCAGGUGUUUGGGGUCUAAUGGGUGAUGCAGAAGAUGUUUAUGUACCUUCUUUUUGCAUAGAGGAAUUGGUUUGGGAAGCAUCUGCCAAUUACCUGGAAUAUGGUUCCAGCUUGUCUAAUGUGGUUAGUUUGUCAAGAAUGUAAUAACCGUAUCUUUGAAGAUAAUGAGAGACCCUUAGAUCUCUUAAAAUCUCUUCUUUUUGGUACGUUGUUUUAGUGGGCUUGUAUUUGGGGUUUUACGCAAUGUAUUUCCAUUUCUAAUUUCCCACAAUCUGCUAGCUUUAGCUUUGAGCCUUUUGUAUUUGUUUCAUGUUCCGAGUUUUCAUCAUUGUGAACAUGAUGUUCAUUUCUUUCAAUAAAAGUCUUAUUACCUAUCAAAAAAAGAAAAUGAAAAAAAAGAUGCAUUAUGACAUUCUAGGCAGUAAAAUUAAUAUGUAACAUUCACCUCUUGUAUUCAGUUAUUAUGUAAGGUUCUUACUGAUCAUAUAAGGAGAGCAACUCUCUCUCUCUCUCUCUCUCCCCAAAAGAAGAAGAAUAUGAUGAUGAUAAAAUACAGGUUGAGAAGCCAAAAGAAAUGCUUAACUGAUGGUUAGAUAAAGGUUGAGUUGAGUUGAUAAAAGGUCACCUGAAAGUCACAUGACAAAAAACAUGUGAAUUGUUUUAGAUAAUGCCACCUAGCAGUGUGGAGAAAGUUUUAGAGGAUAUCCUUUUCAAACCAUUUGUUGCCUCAAAGCAAGAUGUUUAAGAAAUUCCCAAGCUGUUUGAGGAAAAUUCCUCCUUCAUUUUUUAUUCUAUUUCAUUAUAGUGUCAUCAAAGGCUUUUGAUUGUCUAACCAAAUUACAUUAUCCACAAUCCAAGCCUCUUUGCCUCAAUUUUGAGAUAGAAGUAUGGCCACUACCAAUUUGAGUCUUUAGAUAUUGCUUGCUCACGGGAGCUUUGAAUUGUUGUUGUAGGUUUGAGAGAAGCAUACACCAUAAUUCGGGGAGGUAAUCAUGGAGUUUGCACCUGAAGACAUAAAUCUUAAGCCUAUUUGAUAAAGUGCACAAGCUUUUAUACAUUUAGAAAAGGCUAAGCAAUGCUCUGAUAACUGUAACCUUUGUAUGUUUAAAAAGUUUUUUAUUUUUUAUUUUAUUAUUAUUUUAUUUUUUGUGGCUUAUUUUGAUUGCUAUAUCUUGGGUAUCACUAUUGCAAAUCAUGAAAGAUUUCUGUAAGGAUGCUUGCUAGGUUAGUCCUUAUACUGGGCAAGCGAAUUGCUUGGCCUUAUGCCUUUAAAUGAUCCAGGACAGAAGCUUGAAUGAGCUCUGAUACUAAUUUUGAAGUAGUAUCUUUAGGAAUUCAACACCAAAUUAGAUUUCUUGAUGAGAUAUUGAACAGUUCUUGAAUAGGGUUUGUGUUUAUAGGUUUAGGAAGGUUUAGUCUAUUCAAAGAUUGAAUCUUGAAUAUAUUUGAUGGUUAUUUGGUGCUAAACAGUGAAUAGAAUGAUAAAUAAAGAAAGAUAAAUACUAGGCAAUCUCACCUAUGUUUUUCUAAGCAAUCACACUUAGGUAGGAGAAGGCAAUCACAACCUCAAAGUUUAAAAUUUUAAAACCAAUCUCACUGUGAAUAUUAUUGACUAUGAUAAAACCUUUAUAAGGCUAUUGCUAAAUCCUUUCUUAGAAGGACUAGGACUCUUAAAUAACCUAGUCAUAGAAAGCCUAGGCUUACUAACAACAAAAAUAAAAAGUACUUAAGAACUUCUACUAAAUAGGAAAAGGAAAAAUAAAAUAAAAAAAGACCCAUGAACCUUUGGUAUAGGCGUAUAGCCAAAAGACAACUUAUUCUUGAAAAUCUAGAAAUUACCAAAAAUCCCUUAUUCUAGUAAACUUAAUUAAAUUGUAUUCACAACUUUCUAACGUAAAGAAACUUGAGAGUAAGUGGGGACUCGCAGAGGUCGUAUAAGGGCCGGCAUUGCAAGAAGUUUUAUACUGAGGAGGGUUGUCCUUAUGGAGAUAAUUGCACAUUCCUUCAUGAUGAGCAAUCCAAGAACCGGGAAAGUGUGGCGAUAAGCUUGGGACCGGGCGGGUAUGGUGGUGCAGCAGCUAGUCCUGUGAGUGGACCCAAUGCCAAGCCCUCGAAUUGGAAAACUAGGAUUUGCAAUAAGUGGGAGUUGACAGGGUAUUGCCCCUUUGGAAGCAAAUGCCAUUUUGCUCAUGGUGCUGCAGGUAACCAAUGGUUUGCUUUUUUUUAUUUUUUUAUUUAUCCUUCCCAUUCAUCUUGUUAAGAUUUAAGGAAAGUAUUGGAUUUUGAGUUUGUGUAUAUUUGUUAUGUUUUAAAUCAUAACACUUGUGCUGCUAUUGAGUGGUGUAGAAACUAGAAAGAGAGUUGGUAGAAAUGGUUUAAUUGUAAGUGGUUCGUCUUCUAGUGUAAUUGAACAUAGCCCUGUGAUUGCAUUGCCAGUUUUACACUCAAUUCAUAUGCUAGUAACUUUCCAUUUUUGCUUCAACUUUCCAUCCAAGGAUAGAGACUUUGCUUUAAUCAUUUGAAUACCUGGACGUUUUAGUUCCCAAACAAUAAUCAUUGUAUUAACUUUCUUUUUUACUAGAAAAUUCUUCAAGUGUAGGACAAUUCUACGUAAAUUCUUUAAUACUGUAAACUGGAGCAUUGUUCCUUCUAAUUUUUGUACAUGUUUAAGCACAAAUGUUUCAACUUCUUUUGAUAUGCACUGAGUUCUUGUGUAUACCUGUUAAUUACUUUAAUUUAAGGGAUUUUUUGUUAUUUCCUUUAACUAUUUUUAGGAAGGGUUUGAAAGCUAGGCAGGUCCAAGCAACCUAAACCGUAGCUCACCUAGCUUAACCACCAAAUAUAAGGCAUUAGGGGACUCUGAGAUAGUUGUCCUCAAUAAAAGAUGCAAUAUGACAUGACCCUUGGAGUGUACAUACACACCUCUAAAAGGAUCUUUUUCCAGAUCUGUAUGCUUGUUCUCUGUCCAAAUAAGCUUGGAUAUCUGACCUGGUUGUUUCUGCAUCAGAAGGGGGAGAGAGGAGUUGGAAUUUACAAUUCCGGCGAGUUUUUCACGAUUGGGAGUUGGAGGGUAUUUGUUCUUUUUUUGAGCUACUUUAUUCCUACAUGCCGAGAGGUGAGGGUGAUGAUAAGCUAUCUUGGAAGUUGACUUGGACUAGUGUGUUUGAUGUGCGCUCCUAUUACAUUUGGUUGUCUGGUACACUUAUUGAUGCUUUUCCUUUGGAAGAGCAUUUGGUGUGUAGAGGUGCCUAAAGGGGUGUCUUUCUUUUUAUGGACAGCAGCUAGGGAUGAGAUAUUUACCAUUGAUAAUCUUGUUAAGAGAGGUCCCUGGUUAUUUGGUGUUUCCUGUGUUGGUAUGAUGGGGUAUCUGUGGACCAAGUUUUACUUCACUGUAAAUCUGUUCAUGCUUUAUGGAGUGAAGUUUUUCAGGUGUUUGGGGUCUAAUGGGUGAUGCAGAAGAUGUUUAUGUACCUUCUUUUUGCAUAGAGGAAUUGGUUUGGGAAGCAUCUGUCAAUUACCUGGAAUAUGGUUCCAGCUUGUCUAAUGUGGUUAGUUUGUCAAGAAUGUAAUAACCGUAUCUUUGAAGAUAAUGAGAGACCCUUAGAUCUCUUAAAAUCUCUUCUUUUUGGUACGUUGUUUUAGUGGGCUUGUAUUUGGGGUUUUACGCAAUGUAUUUCCAUUUCUAAUUUCCCACAAUCUGCUAGCUUUAGCUUUGAGCCUUUUGUAUUUGUUUCAUGUUCCGAGUUUUCAUCAUUGUGAACAUGAUGUUCAUUUCUUUCAAUAAAAGUCUUAUUACCUAUCAAAAAAAGAAAAAGAAAAAAAGAUGCAUUAUGACAUUCUAGGCAGUAAAAUUAAUAUGUAACGUUCACCUCUUGUAUUCAGUUAUUAUGUAAGGUUCUUACUGAUCAUAUAAGGAGAGCAACUCUCUCUCUCUCUCUCUCUCCCCAAAAGAAGAAGAAUAUGAUGAUGAUAAAAUACAGGUUGAGAAGCCAAAAGAAAUGCUUAACUGAUGGUUAGAUAAAGGUUGAGUUGAGUUGAUAAAAGGUCACCUGAAAGUCUCAUGACAAAAAACAUGUGAAUUUUUUUAGAUAAUGCCACCUAGCAGUGUGGAGAAAGUUUUGGAGAAUAUCCUUUUCAAACCAUUUGUUGCCUCAAAGCAAGAUGUUUAAGAAAUUCCCAAGCUGUUUGAGGAAAAUUCCUCCUUCAUUUUUUAUUCUAUUUCAUUAUAGUGUCAUCAAAGGCUUUUGAUUGUCUAACCAAAUUACAUUAUCCACAAUCCAAGCCUCUUUGCCUCAAUUUUGAGAUAGAAGUAUGGCCACUCCCAAUUUGAGUCUUUAGAUAUUGCUUGCUCACAGGAGCUUUGAAUUGUUGUUGUAGGUUUGAGAGAAGCAUACACCAUAAUUCGGGGAGGUAAUCAUGGAGUUUGCACCUGAAGACAUAAAUCUUAAGCCUAUUUGAUAAAGUGCACAAGCUUUUAUACAUUUAGAAAAGGCUAAGCAAUGCUCUGAUAACUGUAACCUUUGUAUGUUUAAAAAGUUUUUUAUUUUUUAUUUUAUUAUUAUUUUAUUUUUUGUGGCUUAUUUUGAUUGCUAUAUCUUGGGUAUCACUAUUGCAAAUCAUGAAAGAUUUCUGUAAGGAUGCUUGCUAGGUUAGUCCUAAUACUGGGCAAGUGAAUUGCUUGGCCUUACGCCUUUGAAUGAUCCAGGACAGAAGCUUGAAUGAGCUCUGAUACUAAUUUUGAAGUAGUAUCUUUAGGAAUUCAACACCAAAUUAGAUUUCUUGAUGAGAUAUUGAACAGUUCUUGAAUAGGGUUUGUGUUUAUAGGUUUAGGAAGGUUUAGUCUAUUCAAAGAUUGAAUCUUGAAUAUAUUUGAUGGUUAUUUCAUGCUAAACAGUGAAUCUAGAAUGAUAAAUAAAGAAAAAUAAAUACUAGGCAAUCUCACCUAUGUUUUCCUAAGCAAUCACACUUAGGUAGGAGAAGACAAUCACAACCUUAAAGUUUAAAAUUUUAAAACCAAUCUCACUGUGAAUAUUAUUGACUAUGAUAAAACCUUUAUAAGGCUAUUGCUAAAUCCUUUCUUAGAAGGACUAGGACUCUUAAAUAACCUAGUCAUAGAAAGCCUAGGCUUACUAACAACAAAAAUAAAAAGUACUUAAGAACUUCUACUAAAUAGGAAAAGGAAAAAUAAAAUAAAAAAAGACCCAUGAACCUUUGGUAUAGGCGUAUAGCCAAAAGACAACUUAUUCUUGAAAAUCUAGAAAUUACCAAAAAUCCCUUAUUCUAGUAAACUUAAUUAAAUUGUAUUCACAACUUUCUAACGUAAAGAAACUUGAGAGUAAGGGUCUAUUUGGGAUUUGCUUAUUUUGCUGAAACUGAAAACUUUUUGUUGAAAGUACUGUAGAUAAAGGUAAAUGUUAGUUGGAAUAGUAUAGUGAGACUUAUGAAUAAUAGCAAAAAUAAGCUGAAUAGUAAAAUAAGUUGGCAAAAAAUAAGCUAGCCAAACAGACACUAAGACUCAAUAAUAACUAAAGUAACCUAUGAAGAAAGUCCCACAUCAAAACUGGACCACAAAUGUUUAGUCUUUUGCUAUUGUAUCUUUUUUUUAAUCAAACUCAUUAUUGUCCACAUCAAUCUCCCUUAGUUGGAAAAAAAAAAAAAAAAAAAAAAAACUCAAUCUUGAGUAUUGAAAUGUUGUAGUAUAAUUCAUGGCCUCUUGAAUAGCAUCUUGAGAUAGGGCAAAAAGCCCGAGUAUGGGUUUUCUUUCCUCUUUUCGUUGCUUGAAACGAUGUGGACAGUGGAACAUUGUUCUCUCCAAUAUGAACAUUAAACUUUUCAGGAAUUACAAAAUCAAUAAUGAGAAUCAUUGCAAGUGACACAAUUUUAACUUGAUGCCCAUGUUAAAGUAUGGGAAUUGGAUUCUCUAUCUCUUUUGUCUCUUCUUUCAUCACACAAUCUUCUUUUGUUCAAUCUUGGCUUCUUGUAGAAUAAUAUUUGUUGUUGGCUGAGAUGAAUUUGGCACAAUGGCUGCCUGAAUAGUAGCUAGGUUGUCAAUUUCUUUUCCCACAGCAGCAAACUCAAAGCCUUUUUCGUAGCUCUCAUGUUCUUGUUCAAAUUCUCCUCAUCAAGCAACUGAAGAGUUUCCUACUUCCUGAAGGUUUCCUCCAUCAACCUUUCUGAUUGCUGUUUUGAAUCAUCUUCAGGUUGUCUAGACAUUUCAGUUUGUUGUUUAAGCUCUUUUGUCUGUUUUUCUGACCAUUCUGCCAAGUCAAAUCACUUGUAUAGGAUCUCCAAUGAUAUUAAAACAUCAUGGCAGAACCUAUAUUAGCACCGAUCAUAAGCUGGAGGACCACUCCCUUUAGCGUGGUCAUAAGGACCAUGCCUAUUUCUAGCUUCCCCUUUCAAAAUGGCCCGGCUAUCCACUUCCAUACCUGUCACCACCAGCUCUUAGGCCUCCAUCCCUGUCAUAACCUUUGUCUUUGCCAUACCCAUUCUGAGGUAGGAUCUUUAGGAAUUCAGCACUAAUUUCAUUUCUUGAUGAGAUCUUGAAGGGUUUUUAAAUAGGGUUUGUGUUUAAGAGUUUAGGAAGGAUUAUUGAAAAAAGAAGAAGAAAAAAAAUCUUAAAUAUGUUGGAUGGCUGUUUGGUGUUAAAACAAUGAACAGAAUGAGAAAUGAAAAAAGAUACACACUAGGAAACCUCACUUAGGUUUUCCUACUAUGAAUUUACUGACUGCAAUAAAGCCUUUUUAUAAGCAAUUUGUUAAAUCCUUUCUUAGAUGGACUAGGAUUCCUAAAACCUAUUCCUAGAAAUACUAGGAAAAAGUACUUAAGAACUUCGAAACAAAUAGGAAAAUAACUCUUUCAGCAAAAAAAGGAGGAGAAGGAAAAGGAUUCAGCACAGAAAUUAAGGGCCUUUGUUACAGCGAAGGAUGGCCCAUUCCAAAAUCUUGAAAUAUCAAAUUGCCCUUAUUCUAGUAAACUUAACCAAAACUGAGCCCACAGCUUUCUAAUCUAAAGAAACUUAAUACUAAUACUCAAUAAUAACUAAAGUAACCUACAAAAGGUGCCAAGAAAGUCCCAUAUUAAAACUAGACCUCAAAUCUUGAAUCCUUUAACGCUUAAUCUUAUUUUUCCUCAAAUUCUUUAUUGUCCGCAUCAUUACAUUUAGGAAGAUUGCUCUCAUGUUGGCACUUAUCUGCUGUUUGGUUUGGAUCGUUAUGCUAUUGAAGAAUAGUGUACCUAAUUAAUCGUCAGAGAUAAAUAUCUUUCUUUAAGUACUCUUGGGCAUUGCCCAUGUUUAGCUUGAUGUCAUACCUAAUCUCUGUUUCUGACCACAGAAUUGCACCGGUAUGGUGGUGGGCUUGUAGAGGGGGAGACUAGAGAUUCUUCUUCUGCUCCUCCAGACUCAAAGCAGGGAGGAGUACCUUCAAAAACUCCGGCAGAUAGUGUGGUAGUUUCAGUCGCUCCAGUUCCUCAUUCCGAUGUCUAUCAUAUGGGAGUUCCAUCACAAAGGUCAUCUAUUGUAAUUCAGAGGCCAGGGCAGAGAACUCAUCAGAAAUGGAAAGGUCCUGACAAAAUCAGUAGGAUAUAUGGUGACUGGAUUGAUGACAUUGAAUAG
rnacentral:sRNA from 1 species